rnacentral:rRNA from 1 species
UACGAAGGGGGCUAGCGUUGCUCGGAUUGACUGGGCGUAAAGGGCGCGUAGGCGGUUCGUACAGUCAGACGUGAAAUUCCUGGGCUCAACCUGGGGGGCUGCGUUUGAUACGUGCGGACUUGAGUGCGGAAGAGGGUCGUGGAAUUCCCAGUGUAGAGGUGAAAUUCGUAGAUAUUGGGAAGAACACCGGUGGCGAAGGCGGCGACCUGGUCCGAUACUGACGCUGAGGCGCGAAAGCGUGGGGAGCAAACAGG